rnacentral:rRNA from 1 species
UUGAGUUUGAUCCUGGCUCAGAUUGAACGCUGGCGACAUGCCUUACACAUGCAAGUCGAACGGCAGCACGGGUGCUUGCACCUGGUGGCGAGUGGCGAACGGGUGAGUAAUACAUCGGAACAUGUCCUGUAGUGGGGGAUAGCCCGGCGAAAGCCGGAUUAAUACCGCAUACGAUCUACGGAUGAAAGCGGGGGACCUUCGGGCCUCGCGCUAUAGGGUUGGCCGAUGGCUGAUUAGCUAGUUGGUGGGGUAAAGGCCUACCAAGGCGACGAUCAGUAGCUGGUCUGAGAGGACGACCAGCCACACUGGGACUGAGACACGGCCCAGACUCCUACGGGAGGCAGCAGUGGGGAAUUUUGGACAAUGGGCGAAAGCCUGAUCCAGCAAUGCCGCGUGUGUGAAGAAGGCCUUCGGGUUGUAAAGCACUUUUGUCCGGAAAGAAAUCCUUGGCUCUAAUACAGUCGGGGGAUGACGGUACCGGAAGAAUAAGCACCGGCUAACUACGUGCCAGCAGCCGCGGUAAUACGUAGGGUGCGAGCGUUAAUCGGAAUUACUGGGCGUAAAGCGUGCGCANGCGGUUUGCUAAGACCGAUGUNGAACCCCCGGGCUCAACCCUGGAACUGCAUUGGUGACUGGCAGGCUAGAGUAUGGCAGAGGGGGGUAGAAUUCCACGUGUAGCAGUGAAAUGCGUAGAGAUGUGGAGGAAUACCGAUGGCGAAAGCCAGCCCCCUUGGCCAAUACUGACGCUCAUGCACGAAAGCCUGGGGAGCAAACAGGAUUAGAUACCCGGGUAGUCCACGCCCUAAACGAUGUCAACUAGUUGUUGGGGAUUCAUUUCCUUAGUAACGUAGCUAACGCGUGAAGUUGACCGCCUGGGGAGUACGGUCGCAAGAUUAAAACUCAAAGGAAUUGACGGGGACCCGCACAAGCGGUGGAUGAUGUGGAUUAAUUCGAUGCAACGCGAAAAACCUUACCUACCCUUGACAUGGUCGGAAUCCCGCUGAGAGGUGGGAGUGCUCGAAAGAGAACCGGCGCACAGGUGCUGCAUGGCUGUCGUCAGCUCGUGUCGUGAGAUGUUGGGUUAAGUCCCGCAACGAGCGCAACCCUUGUCCUUAGUUGCUACGCAAGAGCACUCUAAGGAGACUGCCGGUGACAAACCGGAGGAAGGUGGGGAUGACGUCAAGUCCUCAUGGCCCUUAUGGGUAGGGCUUCACACGUCAUACAAUGGUCGGAACAGAGGGUUGCCAACCCGCGAGGGGGAGCUAAUCCCAGAAAACCGAUCGUAGUCCGGAUUGCACUCUGCAACUCGAGUGCAUGAAGCUGGAAUCGCUAGUAAUCGCGGAUCAGCAUGCCGCGGUGAAUACGUUCCCGGGUCUUGUACACACCGCCCGUCACACCAUGGGAGUGGGUUUUACCAGAAGUGGCUAGUCUAACCGCAAGGAGGACGGUCACCACGGUAGGAUUCAUGACUGGGGUGAAGUCGUAACAAGGUA